AGUCACAAUAGGGCAGAAAGAACUCAGCUCAGACUCGCUGGUUGGGAACCUGUGUGGACAAUGGGGUGAUACGGCUGGAAGCCUGGAGAAUAUCAGGCGUGGGGAGAUUCCCCCUGAUGCAUUCUGGUGCUCAGCACUUUAUCCACAGCAGGCCUGCUCUGAACUGUUCCCUCCCAGAGACAGAGACCUCUUGGCAGCUGGGCAUAGUUACUAAUAUUGUCCCCAUUUCACAGGUGUUCAAAGGAUUGACUGCUGACAUGAACAGACACCUCCAAGCCAGGGUGUUCAUCUCAAAGAUGCAGUAACUGAGGCACAACAGAGCUGAGUCAUCCAGGGCACAAGACUUGUUAAUGCUGGUCCUGGUAUCAUCCACAGAGGAGCGGGCUGUCCACAUCUAUGGGGAGCACCAGGCCCAGGCAGUACAGGAGACACUUGCUGGGCCACAAAUCCAUACAGUCAGGAAGCCCCACCUCCCUGCCACAUGCGUACCCCUCCCUGCUCCAACAGCACUCAUUGCUCACUCAUUGCUCAAGGUCCUGCAGGCGAGACUUUCUCCCUCUCAUUUUCCAGAUGAGGAAACUGAGACACAGGAAAACACCCCAACGACUCAAUUUUGCAGCCUGGUGGUAUAGUGCUCAGUGGCAGCCAAGCUACCCCACCAUUCCACUUGCCCAUGAGGUGCCACCUCCAGAACCCCCCUUGCCAUCUUCCUCCAGUUGGGCACAUCCAGCGUCCUGCCCAAAUUCUUCUGGGCAAGCAUGAGUGAAUCAGACGGGUGAGACCAGUGUGGCCUAUUCUCCUGAAGCUGCAUGGAAGGGACUCUUCAUCUCUAAGAUAGAAACAAUUCCACCCACCCAGGAGCUCUGUGAAGACAAGGAGCCAUGCUUGCACCCUGAACUGAACCACAGAGUGGGUCACCCCAGACUGUGAAGACCAGAGGUGAUCAAUCUCAACUCAAUCCAGUUCAAGGAGGCAAUCCAUUGAGCACCUACUGUGUGCUGUCCCAUUAGCCUUGUGCUCCUAUAGCUGGGCCCAGUUGAUUUCAUCUCACCCAUAGGGAAGGGCUUGUCUGGGCUUCUGCCUGCUUGGCCAAUGGGUCUCUGGGGCCACAUGCCCCAGGCCGCGUCCCUGGCACACACCUGUCCACCUGCUGACUGGCCAGGCAGGGAAGCUGCUGUGAGUUGAGCAAGAGAGGCAAUGGGUGUGCCCCUGGGCUGUAACUCCUGGGGACACCCAGCUGUGAUAGUCCUGUGACCUCAUCAGGCUGGAGGCAGCCCGGGAUUACAGCCUCCACUGCCCCUCUCUGUGGCUUGUGGGCAAACUGGUUCUGUCAGAAGUCAUGCAUGUUGCUGGAAGGGAAAGCUGUCCUGCCAGUUGGACAGGGCCCGCCCCCCUCAAGCCCACUAAGGAGGGAAAGUCAGGAGGGUGAGCAUGUUCUCAGGGAUGCAGUGGCUAGCCUGUAAGCCCCUCGACCCAGCCACGGGCCCUUCUGCUUCCUGGCUCCUCAAGCCCACCCCUCAGCCCAAAAAAGCCACAGGAGGGUGUCCAGCUUUCUGGUAAUAAUGAGUCACGUUGACACUGGUCUGAUGGCAGUGUAGGCCCAUCCACUCUGCCAUCCCCAUGGAGUGAGGGACUCAAACAAGCCCUGACAGGCCCCAGGCUGAAGACCCACUCUGCAAAGCUCUCCCUGGGCACCAGCUUCUCUCCUAUCUCUUCUACUUGCCCAGGAAAAGAUGGGAAUCCUGACAGAGGGUGGUACAGCUGGACCAAAGUGUCCUCCAAAGGCCUGCAUAUUGACGGCCUGGCCCCAGCUGAUGGUGCUGUCGGGAGGUGGGUGGGGUAAGAGGUAUCUGGGUGGUUGCAGAUGUGUCCUGGAAGGAGACAGUGGGACCCCACCCUUCUUUUUCCUCUCCUUGUCUCCCUGUCCCAGCUGGAGGUGAGCACCUUUACGCCACCACACACUCCCACCAUAAUAUGCCACCUGUUACAGACCCACAAGCAACAGGGCCAGCUGACCACGGACGGAAAUCCCUGAACUACAAGCCAAAAUGGACCUAGCCUCCUCAUAAGCUGUUUUGAGUGUUUAUUAUGGCUGGUGGGAAGGUGAGAGGGUUUGGGGGCCUGGACCCCACAGGGCUUUGUGCAGGA